AGUAGGUCAGGCUCUCCCCACCACACAGAGACACGUGUUCCAGACUAUGCGAUCAGAGUCCAACUACGCUGAGAAAUUCCAGACGGAUUUCAGACUAGCCUAAAAACAAAAGCAACAGGCGGGCGACUCUACCCUAUCCUGAGGUAUUAUUACAUUUGCCUAGGAGGAUCUGCUAGGCUAGAGACUACUGCAUCUCCUUUCCAUUGGCCCCCAAGCGCGUUCCCUCCUCCCGCCGCACAGCCUUGAGAUGUGUUUGUAGAUAACCCCCGUUAGAGCCUCUUCUACUUACAUACGGACUGAACCGCUCCAGACACGCAGUCAAAAAAUCGGAGGACAGAAAGCGUUAUAGCCGAGGCUUUGCACGCAAAGACUAAACGUUGGGCUAUAGCCUAUUUGCCUGCAGACCGGAUUUCCUGGUUGCUUUGAGGCUUUAGCUUUUUCCUCGUUAGAGUGGCGGUAGCUACUCGUAUAGGAGAUCAUGGAGAAAUUGUUUUAUUGGUUUUUUUAUUCCGGAUGUUUCAUGGGAAGCGAUUCAUAAAUGAAUGGAAAAAUCCAGAUUUUUACCGCUGCAGGAACUUGGCAGCAACUUCUUUCUCUCUCUCUCUCUUUCUCACACACACACACACAAGCAGAAUAGAAGCAGAAGACAGAAAUGUGUUCCACCCCCGAUUUUCUUGUGUGGGGAAAAAAAGUAACUUUCAGGUUGUUGGGUUUUUUAAUGUAAAAAAAAAAAAAAUCACAGCAAACGUUUCCUCGGCUAGGAAAGGAGGAGGAAAAUGACCCAAUAUUCUAAACCCCGUGCUUCCAAUUUGCGUGAGUGGGGAUAAAGCAAAGGACGUCAUCGCGGCCAUCUUUGUUGAGGGCACGAAGAAAAGGAGGUGAAUUAGGGACGCGGUAGCCGUGAAUUUGUCCGUGGUCUCAACUGUUAGUAUAGGAAGAACUUGAAGGAUAAUCUUUGAGGGAAACCGUUACGACCUAGAGUGGAAUUCGAUGAGAAAAUCCACACAGAGUCCAUACAAUUAGGAAAUAAUUGGAGACAGCAAAAGUUACAGAAAAACAAAAGCGCGUAUAAUUGGCGACCUAUAUACUCAGAACCAGAGGAUUGCCCUACCACCAUCCUCGGUCUCAGAGAUGAGUCCCCAACAGCCUCUCCAUCUUCCUAGACAUCGCUGAAGGCAAAGGAUACAGAAGCAUACAAGGACCCUUAAGGAGCACAGCGGGCUUCCUCAAGGAGGUGGGGCUUAACGCAGAACCAGCUUGCCUGCCUUUAUAAGGCCUCAGCCAGCUUCAGCUUCCUGUUGAGAUCAUCCUUCCACAGCAAACAGUAGGACCUACGUGGAGCUGUCCAGGGUCCUGACUCCUGCCUUGACAACUUACUCUGCUGGGCCCAGUUGGCUUGAUCCUACUGGACUUGACUUGCCCACUUCCCCUGAUAGUUGUAAGCCUCAGCAGAACAGGAUAGUGGUAUUGGAGUGCCUACGCUUUGGCGUUGGUGGUGUCAUGUUACUUCACCUCCAGCUGGGUUUAGUUCCAGCUGGGUUUGUUGUGUGGGCUGAGGGGUGGAGAAGAGUGGUGUAGCACUUGAUAUAGCGUUGAGCUCAUUGGAGAAAGUCAUAUCUAAAAGAGUGAUUGGCCAUGCUGGCUGCAGCUGAUGGGAGCUGUAGUCCAUAACUCUGGAGGGCACUGUGAUGUUCCUGUAUUAAUGUAAAUAUGGUAAGUGCUGUUUGUAUAGAAGAUAUAUGGUAAGUGGAGUGAAAGAGGAGGGGGGAGUAGAUGAGCAGUAGAAUGCUGGAUGAUUGGCUGAGUGUUGGAAUGGCUAAGAGUAUAAAUAGAAGAAUGACAGUUGAAUCUGGGUGGAUGUUGAGUUGGUGGAUGUUGAGUUGGUGGAUGUGAGAGAAAGAAGGUGUUUGGUAGUGGAUGUUAGGAGAGUGUGGAGAAAGAGGGGAUUGGAGUUCUAGUUAAUAAUAAGUCAAGUAUCACAGGAAUAGAUGAAACCAUAUGCUUAUGUACCAUUAUAAAAGUAAUCUUGUUAUUUCUGAUAUUUAAUAAAUACUAUUUUGGUUUA